rnacentral:rRNA from 1 species
AUGUCGAUUAUCCUUGGUAGACCCUUUUUGAAUACUGCAGGGGCUGUUAUUGAUUGCAACAAAGGCAAUGUCACUUUUUAUGUUAAUGGUAAUGAGCAUACGGUACACUUUCUGAGGAAACAACCUCAAGUUCACAGUAUCAAUUCUAUUGGAAAAAUUUCAUCGAUUAUUAUUGGAGGUUUUGAAUUUCCUGUUCCUACUGUCAAGAAGAAAUAUGAUAUUCUUAUUAUUGGAGAUGUACAUAUCCCAGUUGAGAAAAUGAUGAAGAGAUUUUUAAGGGGCUAUUCGAGCCGAAGCUCAAAGGAUAAGCAAAGUGAAGAGGAUAAAAAGCCAAAUAUAAUCUUCCUCGCACCGCGGAGGUUCAGCCGUGUGAAUGGCCUUGUGAUGAGUUCUUGA